AUUGAACGCUGGCGGCAUGCCUUACACAUGCAAGUCGAACGGCAGCACGGGUGCUUGCACCUGGUGGCGAGUGGCGAACGGGUGAGUAAUACAUCGGAACAUGUCCUGUAGUGGGGGAUAGCGCGGCGAAAGCCGGAUUAAUACCGCAUACGAUCUACGGAUAAAAGCGGGGGACCUGCGGGCCUCGCGCUAUCGGGUUGGCCGGUGGCUGAUUAGCUAGUUGGAGGGGUAAAGGCCUACCCAGGCGACGAUCAGUAGCUGGUCUGAGAGGACGACCAGCCACACUGGGACUGAGACACGGCCCAGACUCCUACGGGAGGCAGCAGUGGGGAAUUUUGGACAAUGGGCGAAAGCCUGAUCCAGCAAUGCCGCGUGUGUGAAGAAGGCCUUCGGGUUGUAAAGCACUUUUGUCCGGAAAGAAAUCCUUGGCCCUAAUACGGUCGGGGGAUGACGGUACCGGAAGAAUAAGCACCGGCUAACUACGUG
rnacentral:rRNA from 1 species